rnacentral:tRNA from 1 species
UCCCUGGUGGCCUAGUGCUUAAAGGUUUCGGCGUUGUCACUGCUGUGGCUCAGGUUCGAUUCCUGGCCUGGAAU